UACGUAGGUGGCAAGCGUUGUCCGGAUUUAUUGGGUUUAAAGGGUGCGUAGGCGGCCCUGUAAGUCAGUGCUGAAAUAUCCCGGCUUAACCGGGAGGGUGGCAUUGAUACUGCAGGGCUUGAGUGAAGUCGAGGUAGGCGGAAUUGACGGUGUAGCGGUGAAAUGCUUAGAUAUCGUCAAGAACACCGAUAGUGAAGACAGCUUACUGGACUUCAACUGACGCUGAGGCACGAAAGUGUGGGGAUCAAACAGG
rnacentral:rRNA from 1 species